AUUGAACGCUGGCGGCAGGCCUAACACAUGCAAGUCGAACGAGUGGCGGACGGGUGAGUAAUGUCUGGGAAACUGCCUGAUGGAGGGGGAUAACUACUGGAAACGGUAGCUAAUACCGCAUACCAUCAGAUGUGCCCAGAUGGGAUUAGCUUGUUGGUGGGGUAACGGCUCACCAAGGCGACGAUCCCUAGCUGGUAUGAGAGGAUGACAAGACAAACUGGAACUGAGACACGGUCCAGACGCCUACGGGAGGCAGGAGUGGGGAAUAUUGGACAAGGGGCGAAAGCCUGAUGAAGCCAUGCCGCGUGUAUGAAGAAGGCUUUCGGGUUGUAAAGUACUUUCAGCGGGGAGGCGUUACCCGCCGAAGAAGCACCGGCUAACUCCGUGCCAGCAGCCGCGGUAAUAC
rnacentral:rRNA from 1 species